rnacentral:rRNA from 1 species
GAGGCCUGCCUGCCCAGUGACAAACGUUCAACGGCCGCGGUAUCCUGACCGUGCAAAGGUAGCAUAAUCACUUGUUCCUUAAUUGGGGACUGGAAUGAAUGGCCUCACGAGGAUUCAACUGUCUCUUACCUCUAAUCAGUGAAAUUGACCUCCCCGUGAAGAGGCGGGGAUACAACAACAAGACGAGAAGACCCUAUGGAGCUUUAAUUUUCUGUCUUAACUACUAAAUAACUAACCCUACUGGGAUAAAAAAAAAGAAAAAUAAGUCCGUAAUUUCGGUUGGGGUGACCUCGGAAAAUAAGACAACCUCCGAAUGAUUUUAACCAAGACAAACAAGUCAAAAUAUUAAAUAUCCAAUUGGCCCAAUUCAUUUGAUCAACGGACCAAGUUACCCUAGGGAUAACAGCGCAAUCCUAUUCAAGAGUCCCUAUCGACAAUUAGGGUUUACCACCUCCAUGUUGGAUCAGGACAUCCCAAUGGGGCAGCAGCUAUUAAUGGUUCGUUUGGUCCACGAUUAAAGUCCUACGUGAUCUG